UUGGUUGGCCAACACGUCUGUUAAUGUCUGAAAAAAAUCUAGAGCGCUUCUAGAGCAUUAAAGGAAACCUUUUUCUCUGCGAGUCCCGAAUUACUUUUCGGGCCGUUCGGGAUGGUUUUGUGGGUUUGUAGCAUUUUGUUUGCAAAAGAUAACGGAGAUUGAAGGCGCUUAUAGUAAAGAGCAGAGAAGUGAUAUCUGCUGGAUUAAUGGAUAAUCAAUUUAAAAACAGCCAUGGAAGAUUUCAAUCUAUGAUUACUGCAGCGAGAUUAUUACAGGCACAGAGAUGGAAAGAUCCAACUCUACGCACUGGUUGGUGAAGAUUUUUCUGAAAUAAAUGAAUUCUUUGAUUAAAGUAAAAACAGUAUCUA